UACGUAGGGGGCAAGCGUUGUCCGGAAUUAUUGGGCGUAAAGAGCGUGUAGGCGGUCCGGUAAGUCAGCUGUGAAAGUCAAGGGCUCAACCCUUGAAAGCCGGUUGAUACUGUCGGGCUAGAGUCCGGAAGAGGCGAGUGGAAUUCCCGGUGUAGCGGUGAAAUGCGCAGAUAUCGGGAGGAACACCGGUGGCGAAGGCGGCCCCCUGGUUGGAUACUGACGCUGAGACGCGAAAGCGUGGGGAGCAAACAGG
rnacentral:rRNA from 1 species